rnacentral:rRNA from 1 species
AACGAACGCUGGCGGCAUGCCUAACACAUGCAAGUCGAACGGGACCUUCGGAUCUAGUGGCGCACGGGUGCGUAACGCGUGGGAACCUGCCCUUAGGUUCGGAAUAACUCCCCGAAAGGGGUGCUAAUACCGGAUAAUGUCUUCGGACCAAAGAUUUAUCGCCUUUGGAUGGGCCCGCGUUGGAUUAGCUAGUUGGUAGGGUAAAAGCCUACCAAGGCGACGAUCCAUAGCUGGUCUGAGAGGAUGAUCAGCCACACUGGGACUGAGACACGGCCCAGACUCCUACGGGAGGCAGCAGUGGGGAAUAUUGGACAAUGGGCGAAAGCCUGAUCCAGCAAUGCCGCGUGAGUGAUGAAGGCCUUAGGGUUGUAAAGCUCUUUUACCCGGGAUGAUAAUGACAGUACCGGGAGAAUAAGCUCCGGCUAACUCCGUG